rnacentral:rRNA from 1 species
GAUGAACGCUAGCGGCAGGCUUAACACAUGCAAGUCGAGGGGCAGCAUAAAUAGUAGCAAUACUAUUGGUGGCGACCGGCGGACGGGUGCGUAACGCGUAUACAACCUUCCCUAAACAGGGGGAUAAUCUGGAGAAAUUCGGUCUAAUACCCCAUAACAUCAGAGCAGGCAUCUGUUUUGGUUAAAAUUUCCGGAGGUUUAGGAUGGGUAUGCGUAGCAUUAGCUAGUUGGUGAGGUAACGGCUCACCAAGGCGACGAUGCUUAGGGGGACUGAGAGGUUAACCCCCCACACUGGUACUGAGGCACGGACCAGACUCCUACGGGAGGCAGCAGUGAGGAAGAUUGGUCAAUGGGCGGAAGCCUGAACCAGCCAUGCCGCGUGCAGGGUGACGGCUCUAUGAGUUGUAAACUGCUUUUGUACGAGAGUAAAGUGGGCUACGUGUAGCCUUUUGAAAGUAUCGUACGAAUAAGGAUCGGCUAACUCCGUGCCAGCCGCCGCCGUAA